UGGGGAAUCUUGCGCAAUGGCCGAAAGGCUGACGCAGCGACGCCGCGUGCGGGAGGAAGCUCUUCGGGGUGUAAACCGCUGUCAGGGGGGGCGAAGGUCCCGGGGAGGCAAUGCCCCGGGGAUGACGGUACCUCCAGAGGAAGCACCGGCUAACUCCGUGCCAGCAGCCGCGGUAAUACGGAGGGUGCGAGCGUUGUUCGGAAUUAUUGGGCGUAAAGCGCGCGUAGGCGGCCUGGUAAGUCUUACUGUGAAAGCCCGGGGCUCAACCCCGGGAGGCCAGGAGAUACUGCUGGGCUUGAGAGAGGCAGAGGCGAGUGGAAUUCCGGGUGUAGCGGUGGAAUGCGUAGAGAUCCGGAGGAACACCGGAGGCGAAGGCGGCUCGCUGGGCCUGUUCUGACGCUGAGGCGCGAAAGCGUGGGGAGCGAACAG
rnacentral:rRNA from 1 species